rnacentral:tRNA from 1 species
GAGGGUUUAGCUCAGUGGUAGAGCGCGUGCUUAGCAUGCACGAGGUCCUGGCUUCAAAGCCCAGUACCCCUG